UCCUGGAGUUCAACAGCUCACUGGGGAACCAGGGGUACUGGAAAACAAAAAUUUUAGCAAGCCUCAGAGUGGGCAUCAGUGGAGAAGCUGAUUCUCCUCAUGGCUUGCAUGAGUCUGUUCUGGAAACCAUAGCAACAACUACCUCUAUUGCUCUGCUUGGUCCUAACAACUGCCUGGGAACAAUUCUGUGUGAGAGAAGGAUGCCGGCGAACAGGAAAAGGUCAGUCACGGGUUUAAGCGGGUGAUCCAUGAUGGCACAGCUGUGGACCUACCGUUGAGGAACGUGGAAUUUACUCAGGUGCAAUUGGGAAGAAGUCUUAGGGAUAUACCCUUCUUCACUCACACCCUCAGAUGUGUCUGGAUCAAGGUCUCUUCUGAGUGAAAUUUAUGCGCUGCUUCCCAUCCAUUUAAACCAGAAAAAGUUUCGGCGUUAAGAAGGGCAUGAGAAACAGGUUGACUGUGAAAGAGUUCUUUGAACAUAGAAGACAAGGUGGUCUGUGAACGGCUCACAUAUGUCUUUCCAGGAGUUGCUUCUGGUCAUAGUGGUAAUCACAGCAGUAGUAAGUGAAUGAAGACACUGGGCUCCUAAGAAGGAUGUGGAGAGGAGCAGACACACCCUGAGUAGAUCAGAUAUGGCCUGUGGGGACUAGAGGCUGUCCCUUGCCAUUCAUCUGUAGCAGGAACUAUUGGGUGAGUAUUUUUUAAACAUAUUCAUUCUGAACAUCCCUGGGUGACAUUAUUCAGUGUGGCCAUGUAUCUGAAUAUUAGGAAACUAAAUGAGAACAGAAUCCAUGGGAGCCUUAUCCAGCUGUGACCCUUAGAAAUUUGCGGCUUGCCAUCUGGUAUAUUCAUACCCUUCAAGCUGUUUGUCUCAGCUGAGCACAGGAAACUUGAAGUUUUGUGUUGAACAUGGUUGAGCCUCGGUCUGCAGGAAGACUUGGUUGGUUCUCUGAGUCUAUACCUGGAAGAGUAAACCCACAUGGAAAAAGUGAGUACCACUUAUUCUAACUCUGCCAUCAUCAUGAGAAAUAAUGUUGAACAUUUAAUGGUGAUGCACACCUUUGAUCACAGCACUCAGGAGGCAGAGGUAGGCAGAUCUUUCUCUGAGUUCGAGGUCAGCCUGGUCUACAGAGCUAGUUCCAGGAAAGCCAGGGCUGCAUAGAGAAACCCUACCUCAAAACAAAAAAGCAAAAAACACCCUGCAAAGAAUUAAAAAAAUGAACACUUAAGUUCAUAUAUGGACAUACUCGCCUGCAUUCUUUAACAAUGCAGCACCACCUUGCCCUGGCAAAGAGAGAAAGUGUUGUGUUUCCUCUCACUAUUGAGUGAUGUUUUCUCCAUAGGACCAUUUCUGUCUGUAGAUGAUAAUGCCCAUGCCAUGAAACUUUACUGGUCCCCCAAAUGCAAUUCCAGCAGCUCAGGACAAGAGGGUGCCACAUUCCCCCAAGAAGUGUUGAUUCUCAGCAUUCUGAGAGAUCUUGAGAAGCCAAAGCAGCAGCUGCCUCAUGACUGAACUUUGAGAAUGGAUGACAAGGUUGGUCAAAGGAGAAGGAAUCUGAGAAGCAACGGCUUUGUGGUUUGCUCUGGGUGAAUGCCAGCCGAUGCCCCUGGACACCAGGUUUUUCAGACCGGAGCAAAGUCCAUUAUGGUGCCGAUAAUUAGAGGUGGGACGUGACGCUGUUCGACCCCCAGGCUUCUCUGCAAAGCUCUAGCUCUUUCUUUGUGGCACUCCAGUGAUUGAAAAUGAAAUUAUUUGCACAUGCAAGACAAGUACGUGCUCUUCUCUUAGCGGAGAAGGGAGCAAUCCUUAGGAAAUAGCUUUCUUCUCCAUCGAUCGGAAGUCUGCGAUAGCAGAAGUCACUGGGCCCCUUACCACCCUUUUUUUUUUUAAAACACCCAUCCUGAACGUGCAAGCUACUGAAUACCUUCGCGCUGCCGGUGUCUGAGUUUUGAAAGGUUUUGGGAGGUCAGUUUAUUAUCACCAACCUCGGUGAAACCCACUCUUAUCCCAACAGAUUUGUCUGAAAUACAGAACUUUGCUUAAAAGUC